AGUGAACGCUGGCGGUAGGCCUAACACAUGCAAGUCGAACGGCAGCACAGUAAGAGCUUGCUCUUACGGGUGGCGAGUGGCGGACGGGUGAGGAAUACAUCGGAAUCUACUUUUUCGUGGGGGAUAACGUAGGGAAACUUACGCUAAUACCGCAUACGACCUACGGGUGAAAGCAGGGGAUCUUCGGACCUUGCGCGAUUGAAUGAGCCGAUGUCGGAUUAGCUAGUUGGCGGGGUAAAGGCCCACCAAGGCGACGAUCCGUAGCUGGUCUGAGAGGAUGGUCAGCCACACUGGAACUGAGACACGGUCCAGACUCCUACGGGAGGCAGCAGUGGGGAAUAUUGGACAAGGGGCGCAAGCCUGAUCCAGCCAUACCGCGUGGGUGAAGAAGGCCUUCGGGUUGUAAAGCCCUUUUGUUGGGAAAAAAAAGCAGCAGGUUAAUACCCCGCUGUUCUGACGGUACCCAAAGAAUAAGCACCGGCUAACUUCUU
rnacentral:rRNA from 1 species